UAAGGAAUAUUGGACAAUGGAGGCAACACUGAUCCAGCCAUGCCGCGUGAAGGAAUAAGGCCCUAUGGGUUGUAAACUUCUUUUAGACGGGACAAAACCCCUUUACGUGUAAAGGGUUGAUGGUACUGUCAGAAUAAGCAUCGGCUAACUUCGUGCCAGCAGCCGCGGUAAUACGAAGGAUGCAAGCGUUAUCCGGAAUUAUUGGGUUUAAAGGGUGCGUAGGCGGACUAAUAAGUCAGUGGUUAAAGCCUGCAGCUUAACUGCAGAAUUGCCAUUGAUACUGUUAGUCUUGAGUACAGUUGAGGUAGGCGGAAUGUGUCAUGUAGCGGUGAAAUGCUUAGAUAUGACACAGAACACCGAUUGCUAAGGCAGCUUGCUAAGCUGUAACUGACGCUGAGGCACGAAAGCGUGGGG
rnacentral:rRNA from 1 species